GGUGGUAUAGCUCAGUGGUAGAGCAUUCGGAUGCAGAUCAAGAGGUCCGUGGUUUAAAUCCGCACGCACCCU
rnacentral:tRNA from 1 species